rnacentral:rRNA from 1 species
GACGAACGCUAGCGGCGUGCCUAAUACAUGCACGUCGACCUUAGUGUCGAACGGGGCAGGAACACGUGGGUAAACUUCCCAUCAGAAGGGGAUAACACUUGGAAAAAUGUGCUAAUACCGUAUACUGAUGGAUGGACCUGCUGUUCAUUUGCUAGUUGGUGAGGUAACGGCUCACCAAGGCCACGAUGCAUAGACAACUUGAGAGGGUGUUCGGCCACAUUGGGGUUGAGCCACGGCCCUACGUCCUACGAGCGGCCUCAGUAGGGAGUCUUCGGCAAUGGACGCAAGUCUGAACGAGCAACUCCGCGUGAGUGACGAAUGUUUUCGGAUCGUCAAACUCUGUUGUUAGAGAAGCGGUAUCUAACCAGAAAGCCACGGCUAACUACGUGCCAGCAGCCGCGGUAAUAC